rfam:Bombyx mori DNA, contig: Bm_scaf4_contig3723, strain: p50T/Dazao, build 2, whole genome shotgun sequence.
UUAGCAAAUUUGUAUGGAGUUGGAAGAGCACCCCUACGUUUGCGGCUAGGGGUGCUAUUUCAACUUCAUACAAAUUUGAGUUA